rnacentral:rRNA from 1 species
UAGGGAAUCUUUGGCAAUGGACGAAAGUCUGACCGAGCAACGCCGCGUGAGUGAAGAAGGUUUUCGGUUCGUAAAACUCUGUUGUUAGAGAAGAACAAUGACGUUAGUAACUGAACGUCCCCUGACGGUAUCUAACCAGAAAGCCACGGCUAACUACGUGCCAGCAGCCGCGGUAAUACGUAGGUGGCAAGCGUUGUCCGGAUUUAUUGGGCGUAAAGCGAGCGCAGGCGGUUUCUUAAGUCUUAUGUGAAAGCCCCCGGCUCAACCGGGGAGGGUCAUUGGAAACUGGGAGACUUGAGUGCAGAAGAGGAGAGUGGAAUUCCAUGUGUGGCGGUGAAAUGCGUAGAUAUAGGGAGGAACACCAGUGGCGAAGGCGGCUCGCUGGUCUGUAACUGACGCUGAGGCUCGAAAGCGUGGGGAGCAAACAGG